CCUACGGGUGGCAGCAGUGAGGAAUAUUGGUCAAUGGCCGGGAGGCUGAACCAGCCAAGUCGCGUGAGGGAAGACGGCCCUACGUGUUGUAAACCUCUUUUGUCAGGGAGCAAGGACCAGGUCGGGACCCCCUGUGAGUGUACCUGAAGAAAAAGCAUCGGCUAACUCCGUGCCAGCAGCCGCGGUAAUACGGAGGAUGCGCGCGUUAUCCGGAUUUAUUGGGUUUAAAGGGUGCGCGGGCGGUGGCAUAACUCAGCGGUAAAAGCGCGGGGCUCAACCCCGAUCCGCCGUUGAAACUGGGUCCCUUGAGUGAGCGAAGAGUAGGCGGAAUGCGUGGUGGAGCGGUGAAAUGCAUAGAUAUCACGCAGAACUCCGAUCGCGAAGGCAGCAUACCGGCGCGCAACUGACGCUGAUGCACGAAAGCGUGGGUAUCGAACAGGAUUAGAUACCCUUGUAGUC
rnacentral:rRNA from 1 species